rnacentral:rRNA from 1 species
UACAGAGGUCCCAAGCGUUGUUCGGAUUCACUGGGCGUAAAGGGUGCGUAGGUGGCCAGGUAAGUUUGGUGUGAAAGCUCGGAGCUUAACUCCGAAAAGUCAUUGAAUACUAUCUGGCUGGAGGGUCGGAGGGGAGACUGGAAUUCUCGGUGUAGCAGUGAAAUGCGUAGAUAUCGAGAGGAACACCAGUGGCGAAGGCGAGUCUCUGGACGACUCCUGACACUGAGGCACGAAAGCUAGGGGAACAAACAGG